GACGUAGGGCGCGAGCGUUGUCCGGAUUUAUUGGGCGUAAAGAGCUCGUAGGCGGCUUGUUGCGUCAGCUGUGAAAACCCGCAGCUCAACUGUGGGCUUGCAGCUGAUACGGGCAGACUAGAGGUAGGUAGGGGAGAAUGGAAUUCCCGGUGUAGCGGUGAAAUGCGCAGAUAUCAGGAGGAACACCGAUGGCGAAGGCAGGUCUCUGGGCAUUAACUGACGCUGAGGAGCGAAAGCAUGGGGAGCGAACAGG
rnacentral:rRNA from 1 species